CAUCGAUAAAUUCAAGACAAGAUUAUUGCACUUAGUGAGAAAGAUCGAUGAAAUCAAAGUGGUAGGUCUUCUUAUAUAUUGAUAAAGAAAAAAUAAAUGAGCUCGAAGAAAAAAGGAAAUCAUGUGUUUUAGGGUAGAUUGCAAGCAAUGUGGAAAAUAUGGGUGGGGCGGAUGUGGCAAACAUCUUGACAGAGUCUAUGCUAGCAUAGAAGAGGGGAAACACUGCAUGUGCCGCUCGUGGCCUGGCAUUGUUAUCCCAUCUCCUCAGGAACCAUCUCACUUGACUCCUUCAACCAUCACCACUACCACCACAACCGCCAGUGGCAAUGCAACGUCUUAAAUGGUUUGGAUGCUGUGUAGGUGGGGCUGUAUACCUGAAUAAAUAAUGGAGGGAUAUGUUUUCUAAUAUCUAGAAGGCAUGGGGUUUAAGUGUUGAUACCAAUGUAAUGUGGGCAAUUAUGGUUUGGUCAAUAUUUUAUUGACCAACCUGCCUAUGUGAGAUUACAAAAUAAUUAAUAAAUCAUCAGGCUCAUGUUGUUGAUGUUAUCUUGUGCAGGGUGCCUAAAAUGACUCGACCCAAUGCGCUAA